UACGAACCGUCCAAACGUUAUUCGGAAUCACUGGGCUUACAGAGUUCGUAGGCGGCGGAGAAAGUAGGGUGUGAAAGCCCUCGGCUUAACCGAGGAAUAGCGCCCUAAACUACUUCGCUUGAGGAGGCUAGAGGUGAGCAGAACAGAUGGUGGAGCGGUGAAAUGCGUUGAUAUCAUCUGGAAUACCGGAGGCGAAGGCGGCUCACUGGGACCUUUCUGACGCUGAGGAACGAAAGCUAGGGUAGCGAAC
rnacentral:rRNA from 1 species